rnacentral:rRNA from 1 species
CCUACGGGCGGCAGCAGUGGGGGAUAUUGCACAAUGGGGGAAACCCUGAUGCAGCGACGCCGCGUGUGGGAAGACGGUCUUCUGGAUUGUAAACCACUGUCCCCAGGGACGAAAAUGACGGUACCUGGGGAGGAAGCUCCGGCUAACUACGUCCCAGCAGCCGCGGUAAUACGUAGGGAGCAAGCGUUGUCCGGAAUUACUGGGUGUAAGGGGAGCGUAGGCGGGGAUGCAAGUUGGGUGUCAAAACUACCGGCUAAACCGAUAGUCGCACUCAAAACUGCAACUCUUGAGUGAAGUAGAGGCAGGCGGAAUUCGUAGUGUAGCGGUGAAAUGCGUAGAUAUUAGGAGGAACACCAGUGGCGAAGGCGGCCUGCUGGGCUUUUACUGACGCUGAGGCUCGAAAGUGUGGGGAGCAAACAGGAUUAGAUACCCCUGUAGUC